rnacentral:lncRNA from 7 species
GACACACAGAACUGUCUGCUGUGGGAGGGAAAGCUGACAGCCUACAGAAAGUCUGAUCGAGUGCGUCUUCCUCCUCAUAAAAAUAAGAAGUAAUUAUAUGGGCAGGGGCCAGAGAGGGCUUCGGCAGUUAAUGGGAGAGUAACAACAGAUUUGCACACGCAGAUGACAGACAUCACUUUGAAGAACAGAAAGUGAACUUUCAGAACAUCCACAGCAUAAAGUGUCGCAAGGUGCAGCCAGACAGGGAAGUCAGGCAGCCCAAACCCCUGGGGACACGGGAGGAGAGCUCCAUGACGGCCAGUUCAACAAGGGCACAACACCAGAAAAAAGAAGAAUUUGAAAGAGCUCAAACGGUGGGAAGAAGUGGGCUCUCACUGCUAACAAGAGAAAGAAGCUGAAAACACAGAAGCCUUAAUUCACAGGAAGACAGUUUCUGACUGUAAUCUGCCCAAGUACUUUCUUUUGCAGAAGGAAGUUAUUCUGGCUGAUGCUAUUGCUGACGUUUCUUGGUUAUGAAAAUUAUUUCUUCAGUCACGCCACUUGGAAAGUCUCAAAGCAUACACUCGGGUGCCUUAGUGACAAGGUCUGUAUCUAGCAGAAUUGUCCUCUAAAAUGCACCAAAGGUUCAUAGUUUCUCUGUUUUUUGUCUGAUCGGUUUUUGUAUAGUUUAAGCACAUAGUUUUGUUUGGUUUUGGUUUCUAAAUUCCUUGGAGUUAACUGACUCAAACAGAAAAUAUAAUUUGUAGCAUCUGCUCCAAGAGAACAACAGCAGCCAUACUGGGUCAGACACGAGGCCAUCUAACCAAGCCUCUGACAAUGGAGAAAAAAAGCCAAGAGCAGAUGGCUAGAAAGAAUGUCAAGAACAAAGCAAACAAUGCUUCUCUCAGGUAUUCUUCCAUGUGUAGCUUAUUUGCCUCCUUGAGUUGGAUGCAGUAUCCAAAUGACUUUUCUUAACCAUCGGAUUGGAAAACUGGAAUCGUCAAAUUACUUGCUGCUAGCAUUUACAUU